rnacentral:rRNA from 1 species
ACGCUCGACACCUACGGGGGGCAGCAGUCGGGAAUAUUGCGCAAUGGAGGAAACUCUGACGCAGUGACGCCGCGUAUAGGAAGAAGGUUUUCGGAUUGUAACUAUUGUCGUUAGGGAAGAAAAAGGACAGUACCUAAGGAGGAAGCUCCGGCUAACUACGUGCCAGCAGCAGUGGUAAUCUGAGCGGGCUGGCAAGGC